UACCAUGACUGCAAGAGGGAGUUCCCGA
rnacentral:piRNA from 1 species